AUGCUGCUCCGGUUCUGCCAGCUCCCCGUGCUCGUGGCCACCUCCCCGGACGCGGCGCGCGAGAUCAUAAAGACCCACGACGUGGCCUUCGCGUCGCGGCCCCUCAGCCCGACCAUGCACCUCUUCCUGCGUGGCUCCGAGGGCCUCGUCUUCGCGCCAUACGGCGACGGCUGGCGGCAGCUCCGCAAGAUCUGCACCCUCGAGCUCCUCAGCAACCGCCGCGUCCACUCCUUCCGCGCUGUCAGAGCGGAGGUGCUGGGACGCCUGCUCCGCUCCGUCGCGUCGUCGGCGUCGGCAUCGGCGUCCGUGAACUUGACCCGGGGACUAGCCUCGUUCGUCGCGGACUCCUCGUUGCAGGCCAUGGUCGGCCGCCUGAGAAGCGACGACCGCGACACCCUGUUCACGCUGCUGCGGGAGGGGUUAAAGAUCGUGCCGGGGAUGACCCUGCCGGACCUUUUCCCGUCGUCCCGGCUCGCCAUGCUCCUGAGCCGCGUGCCCGCCAGGAUCGACCACCGCAACAAACGCAUGGCCGCCUUCAUGGACUCCGUCAUCCAGCAGCACCGGGACAAGAAGAGAUCAGCAGCAUGCGCCGACGGCGGAGAGGAGCACGCCGAGGACUUGCUUGACGUGCUCUUGAGGCUCCAGGACGACAUGGACUCCCAGUAUCCCUUCACCACGGAGAACAUCAAAUUGGUCAUCAUAGUAAGCUCUCUCCCGAAUCCCGAUCCUGUUUAG
rnacentral:rRNA from 1 species